UAUGGAAGUGAGGAUUAAAAACAGCAACCAGUAGUUUUCUUUGUCGUUCGUUCUCCUCUUUUAAACCACAAAGUUUCUCCUCGUAUUCUGCUGUUGUUCUUUCAAACAGCUCAAAUAUCUCUUCUUCAUCAUCUGCAGGUAGUCGCUGCUUCAGUAACGCUCUCAGAAUUUGGACUUUAGACAUUUUUCACACAAUGACACAAACUGUUUCUACACACAAAA